GUCCACGCGGUAAACGAUGAGUGCUAGGUGUCGGAGGGUACCACCUCCGGUGCCGAAGGAAACCCAAUAAGCACUCCGCCUGGGGAGUACGGUCGCAAGACUGAAACUCAAAGGAAUUGACGGGGGCCCGCACAAGCAGUGGAGCAUGUGGUUUAAUUCGAAGCAACGCGAAGAACCUUACCAGGGCUUGACAUCGGCGUGACCGGAUCUGAGAAGAUCCCUCCCCUUUGGGGCACGCUAGACAGGUGGUGCAUGGUUGUCGUCAGCUCGUGUCGUGAGAUGUUGGGUUAAGUCCCGCAACGAGCGCAACCCUUGAUCUGUGUUACCAGCACGUAGAGGUGGGGACUCACAGAUGACUGCCGGUGACAAACCGGAGGAAGGCGGGGAUGACGUCAAAUCAUCAUGCCCCUUAUGUCCUGGGCGACACACGUGCUACAAUGGGCGGUACAACGGGAAGCGAAGCUGCGAAGUGGAGCGAACCCCGAAAAGCCGUUCGUAGU
rnacentral:rRNA from 1 species